AGCACACAGGCGACCCUGCCAGGGAACACGCAUGGCUCGGAGCUCCCAAGUACUCUCUCCUGGCAAGUGAGGAGUGUAAAUAAAUCUUGGGAGGAGGACAUGAGAGAGAAACACAGUCCCUGGAGGACAGCAUUCUGGAGUGGCCACAUGAGUUGGAAACUUCCAUGCCGAAGCCUUAAGAGGUUGGUGAGUUUCCUGUCACUGAAGGCAUUUGAGCAGGGACGAGAAUUUUCCUGGGCAGGGAUGGGCUAAGGAGGGGGCAGAAGGAAGCAAGCACUGCCUGGAUAGAUGGAUGGAUGGAUGGACAGAGAGAGAGACGAUAGAUACACAGAUUGAUAGAUAAUGGUAGAUGAUCGAUUAGCAGAUGGAUGACAGAUUAUAGAUAUAUUGAAAAAUAGAUUAUAGAUAUAUUGAUACAUAAAUAAAAAUAGAUAAAUGAUUGAUGACUAGAUGCUAGAAUAUACAUAUAUUUAUAGAUGAUAGAUAUAUUGAGAGAUAAAUAAAAAAGAGAGAUAAAUGAUAAAUAGAUGGAUGAUAGAUACAUACAUAGAUACACAGACGCUUCCUAAGCAGGAGGGCACAACUGAAUCACAGAUGCAGGUGGGCACCUGACCUAAUCAGUGUUGUCCAGUCCCAGAUAUCUCUAUCCAACCACACACCUCUCCCUAACUCCAGGUACAAUUUCCACCUGGGGAUCUGAUAGGUCUCUCAAACAGAACCUGUCCACAGCUGAACAGAGCAUUGAUUUGCCCAACCCCCAUCCUGCUCAUCUCAAUGGUUCCUCCCCAUUGCCGCCAGAACCUCUCCAUCCUUCCAGCUGCUCAGGCUGGAACGCUUGGAGUCAUCCAGGACUCUUCUGUCUCAUCCCAGCCAUCUGAUCCCUCUCACACCACAUCUAGCUCUACCACCAUCUUAAUUGGAUUCUCCUAAAAGCAGAGCUGCAGGCGGGCUUAGGUGAAGGUAGCUUAUUUGGGAGGUAUCUCAGGAAGCAGAAGCAAGGGAGCAAUGAGAGUGAGGGAGGGAGGAAGGGCAAACCCACACACGUGCAUUUCCAGGGUCACAGCUGUAGGCAGCAAGGUUGCAUUCUCUGAAAGCUCCAAGAAGCACCCACCUAAAGGAUGCAUGCCUGGGAUGUUUACUCCCAUUUCGUCAGCUGAGGAUUGUCCUUCAGACAUUAGCUCCCCUCAUGUCCUGGCUGCACUUUGAUGCUUGGGAGAAUAUCCACAGCACUGGGCUCAUGGCUGUGCUGUGCUGGAAAGUGUUUGGGUGGUAUAAGGGAGCUGAUAUGUACAUUUGCCAAUUGCCAUGGUGUAAAUACUUCCCACUGCAGCCAGCUUGCAGCAUUCCUGAAAGUGUAGCCACCUGCUCCAAUACAGCGCUCAUCACCCAACAUGCUGGUUGAUUGAAGCCACAGCUGAAGACCAAGGCAGAGCUGGUCCAAGGAAUUGUGAUGCAGGCACAAAGAACAUCUGCUGUGAACAACCUGCUCCAAACCACCAGCAUCUCUGACUAAAUGACCUUCGAAUCCUCCAGCACAAUCUCAUCUCACUCUGCAGCCAUUCAAAUCUUCAACGGGCAGCUCUGAAAAUAAAGCCCAAGUCUUCCCCCAGGCCUCGGCACCUCCCUGGGAUCCUCCCCUGGCCACCUCUUGGCAUUGUGGGCAUCAAAAACUUGCCCCUUUCCAUCACUCACUCAGCCUCACUGGUCUCCUUGUUCCUACCACACCCAAGCACAUGCCUGCUGCAGGGCCAUUGCACCUGCUGUUCCUGCUGCCCUAGUGCUCUUCUCGAGGGUAGUCACAUGACCAGCUCCCUCACUUUGCCUGGUCUCUGCACAGAUGCCCUGCUCUGAGGUCCUCUCUGACCAUCUAUCACAGACAGUUGGGCUCUCCUCCCUGCCAGUCUCAUUCCUCCAGCCUCACUUUAUCAUCACUCCAGGCAUCUAUAACCACCUAGAGUCCCAUCAUACAUCUAUUUCUAUGCUGUCUGUUUCCCCUCAUCCCACGAGACUACUCAUUCCAUGAAGGCAGAGACAUGAGUCGUCACUGCAACCUGCCAUAUAUAGCUAUAUGCAUACUCAAAAAACGGUGACAGGCUUAAAACAGGUGUCCAGUAAAUAUUUGUUGAAUGGCUGACGACCAUGAAUUCUGGAGGGAGAGUUCAGAAUGGUUUCAUUUUUAAAUUCCCUGCAGAGGAUUGCAAAUAAUAUUUCUGGCUCUGAACACCUGGGUCAGACCCCCUCUAAAGUUUGGUCCAGCCCUGGUACCCCAAGAUGGGCUGGCCUCUCCCCAGCACAAUAGAAGCACUAAGAUCUCUUGCAGCACAGAAAUCUCCACGUCCCUCACCACAAACCCUGAGGUAUUCGGUCACAGAUACAAGCGGUGCACCCUCCAAAUGCCACCCAGAUCUAGAACCAGCCAGAAACGAACAGAGAAGCCUCAUCUCAAAGUCAGCCCCUGCCCAGGAGCUCUCAGCCAAGAACCCCAGCGUAACAAGGGUGAGAAACAGCCCCGGGCUGUCACGCAAGACAGAGACGGUGCAUGCAGAGGAAAAGCCUGCAUGCCUCCGCAGGGAGGAUGUGCCCACUCUGACAUUGGGGUGAGAGGAGGAAAACUGGGCUCAGAGGGGGAAAGCUGGGCUCAGAUGGGCAAUGGGAGUUGGGCAAAUCCCUAAGCAAGAGAAGAAACCAAAGGCGGCCAGGGAGACAUCAGCAUGUUCCUCCUGCACAGCCAUGACAUCCUACAAAUGAUAUCUCUUAAUUUUAACAUCAGCUUUGGGAGAGGGCCAUGAAUAGAUUUCUAAAUAUAUUCCAGAGCAGAAUUAAGUGGGAUCUUCCAGUUUCUGAAAGUGACUUGCGGAGAGUGCAUCAGAUGGGAUGAGAACAUGACAUCAGCCACACAGGCAGCCGUACUGGGCAGCUGCCUGCCGGGCAAACCCCGUGCCCACAGAGACCAUUCUCAACCACUCCUCCCAACCACACCAGUUCCACGCACCUUCUCUAACAGGAAUGGGGCCUGCCUCAGGGUCAACUGAGGCCUCUAGCUAUCAGAUUCCAGAGAGAUCUCUGCAGACCCUGGCUCUAGGCAGAAUUUACAAAGAAAACAAAUGAGAAUCUAUUUCCAUGACUCAAGAUGCCCCGCAAGCAGAAGAGGAAUUUAAAAAGAAGUUCUGGAUUGAAGGACAUUCUACAGAACACCCUACAGGUGCUCCUCAAAACUGCUAAGGUCACUAAGAACAAGCAAAGUCAGAAAAGGCGUCACAGCAAGACAGCCUGAAGGUACAUGAUGUCCAGAUGUCAUGCGGGAUCUGGAUGGCAUCCUGGGAUGGAAAAAGGGCAUUAGAAAAAUACUAAGGAUGUUGGAAUAAAGUAUGAACUUGAGUUAAUAAUAAUGUUUCAAGAGUGGUUCAUUAGUGAUACAAAUCUACUAUAAGAGUGAAAGGGAACCAGGGUGCAGGUUUACAUAAAGUCUUUGUACUAGCUUCACAAUUUUUCUGUAAAAUUUAAAUUAACAUCACAAGUUUUUUUUUAAGUCUUCUUUCCAUCAGACUGAGUUAGGGGGCUCCAGCAGGUCAGCUCCAGCCCCUGUAAUAUGUUCCUUGGGUAGGCCCAGAGAAUGGUACCCGAGUUGCCAGAGACCACUCCGGUAGGGACUGAGGUGGCUGCGCUGGACCAGCCUGCACACCCGGCUGCCAGGAGGUGUCUCCUGCAGGCUACACAGGAGCAGCAUGGGAGGGAGACCAGGCCAGAGAUGUUUCUAGUCUCCAGAGCAGGGUGUCCUCAGAUCAGCAGCAUCAGCGGCACCUGAGAUCUUGCUAAAAAUGCAUGUUCAUACUGGCUUCAUGGCAGAUGCGUCAAGUCAGGAGCUCUGGGAAGGGACCCAGCAUGCUGCAUAGACAAGACCCCCGGCGAGUCUCAUAUACCCUAAAGCUUGAGACUCCUGCUCUAGAAGAUCACCCAGGAGGACAGAGACCCCAACAGGGAGCAGGUGUGGAGCAGUCCACCAGUGGAUCAGGGGCUGUAGGAUGCAGCCACGGAGGGGUUGGUGCAUGCUGUACUUGGCUUGAAAGAUGACCUGGGGAUCAAAAUAUCCAAACACCCAUGAGAGCACCAAAAGAGGGGCAAUUUUCACCAACUUCCAGGCUCACAUCGAAGAAAGCCACCCUCUAGAGACACUGCCCCAGCCAUUUCCCACUCUUAUGUCCCCACCCUCCAAAUCGAGAGGCGACACACCAGCAGCUCCCAACCACUCUCCCCCACUUCUCCUGCCAGCAGGUCCAUUUCCUCUCUUGGGAAACCAAAACAGGACACCUUCUCUACACAACGCCCAUGGGCACCAAAGCAGAAGUGGGGUGACCUUUCCGAGUCCCAGAUCAGUGGGUCACCCUCUGCUCCAUAAGUGUCAGCAGGUCUCCAUCACUCCAUAGGAUACAGACAAAAACCCUCAACCUGGUCUUCCCUGUCCCGCGUGGCAGGCCCAAGCCACCUCCCCAUCCCCACGCACCAGCCGUUCAGCCCAUGCUCACACGGUGCCCCUCCCACCACAUGGCCACCACAUCCGCUGUUCCUCUGCCAGGGACAGUGGUCACCAUCCCCACCCCACCUUCAUCUGGUCCAUUCCCACGUAUCCUUCAAACUUCAUAUCUACAUCCCACAGAUGCAGUUUUAAGAGGGAAAAGCCAGGCACAGAACAGGGGCUAGCGUGUUUCCCUUCAUAUUACAAACAAACGAAGAAGAAAAGAAUGCAUAGAAAUUUCCUGAGAGCGUACACAAGAAAGCCAUCAGCAGCUGUCGUGGGACGAGAGACGGGUGCACAGCCAGAGAGACCUGGUUUUCACUAAUGAAAAAGACAGUCGAUGUUUGUUGAAUACAUACAUGUAACAGGAAUGUGACAGAUCAUAUCAUUUAACCCCCACAACAGCUGCAUGGUGCGUACAAUACUAUAGUUCCCAUUUUAUAGAUGAGGAAACUGAGGCCAAAGAGGAGAAGCAGACAGCUGGAAGGUCAUAACACGGGCUGGACCAAGCCUGAUCCAUGCGGAGCCGACAUACCUGCCCCACCCCAUCCUGUCUCCAGCCGCCCUGGAAUUUUUCAACAUGCGCGCGUUCUACUUUUCCAGUUUUAAAAAGCCUGUUGAGUUUUUUUCAAUAAUGCUCCUGCCUCCCACAAAAAAACAUUUAUUUUCCCUUCCCUGCCUAUAUUUCCAAGGGGUGGGGGAGUGUUUUUGAAAGCUAUACAUCAUACAGGAACCAUGGUUCUGAGUGUUUGCUGAAGAUUUGGGUUUUUUUUUUUUUUUUUUUUGGUUAAAGCUGCUGUAAAAUUAGAAUCCUUGUAGAAGCCCUCCUUGAAAUACAUUUCACAAUGGGAUUACAUAUUAGCCCAGGGGUUUUGCUCCAACAGGAUAAGCCCAGACACUCUGGAUAGCAGUUCACAGCUUUCAAGCAGGAUGUGCAUCUCCUGGUGGGUGCCAGGAAUCAUCAGUCCUGGCCAGAGCCGGCUCCCCCAGCAGCCCAGGACAGAUGGACAGAUGGGAGCUGGUGCCCGGCUCAGGUCCCGAGGCAUCUCUAACCCCUGGUCUCCCUCAUUCCCAGUGUGGAGCUGAAGGGUCAAGAGACACACACGGCCUCUCUGUGUGCAGCGAGGUGCCGGGGCAGUCUCUGGGCCUCCCUAGCAAACAGGGAGCACCCCUCGCAGCAGGCACACGGCAGCCUCCUCCUGAGAUAGUGUCCAUCGCAAACCAGGAGAUGGCUGCUGUGUCAGCAGGGCCAGCACUUUCUAUUCUACUAACUGACAUGAACAGAGCAUUUACCAGUAGGUAAAUUACAGUUAUGUCACUGUAAUGUUAAAAUCCUGCAAAGGUCACGUGCCUCAUCUGGAACUCAUACCCACCCCAGGAGUAGGAACUAGCAUUGCCCCCAGUUUAUAGAGGAGGACCUUAAAGCAUGGCCUGAUGAAGGGACUGACAGAGGUUGGCCAGGCACAGUCAGUACGGCUGAGGCUGAAGCCUGACCCAAAGGCCAGCUUCCAGGCACCCAGCUCCAGCUCCCUGCAGGAGGGAUGCACCAUGGCCUUGACCCUGAGUCCCUUUCAGCCUUUCAAAAAAAUGAGGGGAAGUUAUGUCACAAAAAAAAAAAAAUCAGGGGAAGUACCCACACGUGCACACCUGCACACACAAACACAUACUUGUACAUGCACAUACACACACAUAUAUAUAUGCACAAACACACAGGCAUACACACGCAAUGACUCAUUCUCCCAAUGACUUUCGACAAAAAUAAGCAGAAAAAGCUGUAGUGAAGGUUAUUGCCUAAAAGACAGAUGGCAAAGUUGACCUUAAAAGAUCUGCUUGUGAGUCUCAGAGGCUGUGCCUUCUCCCAGGAGCUGCCUCUUGUCUCUGGGAAGAAAGGAGGGGAGUGGGUAGGGAAGAGGAAAGACAAAUUAAGUGCCAUGUGAUUCUGUAGAGGUGACCUCCCUUCCUUUGUCCUCUGCACCCCCAAACUCUUUUCCAGCUUGGCACACAGUAUGUGGUGGACGUGGCUCACCAUGCCCCACACCUCCCCAGGGGCCAGUGGCCUGUGCUCCCUGUCACUUUUGUACAGCUCCUUCAGGGAAGGCCACUGAGGCAGGCAGGAAGUCUAGACUGCCACUGCCAGCCAGUGCCUGCCUGGGAAAGGCCACUGUGGGAAAUCUACAAAGGAUUCUGGGCCAUCCACGAGGGCAAGAAAGACAGGAAGGAGGCAAAGAUCUUAUCAUGGACCAGAAAUAUGCCUGAACCCCAGAAGAAAGAGAGAAACGGGGCAUGUUACAUGUGCCAAGACCAUGCUCCCAGCCCUGACACUGUGGACAGUCCCCAAGAUGUGCCAGGCUGACAUGGGCUGCCCAGCAUGGCCCCACCUAAUCCCUGUGUGGGGUCCGACUCAUAGGUCCUUCCACAGGGCAAGAGCAGGAGUCUGGGCAAGCCCCAACUCUGCCACCUGCUCCCUGGGGAACCCGGCUACAUCAGUCUAUGUGCACUGGGGUGCUCACCUACAAAUAACCUACCUGCACAGGGGUCUGCAAGGAUGAGGCGGAAGCAGGCAUGGGAGCCCACAGCCCCUGAGAGCACCUUCCCAAAUCCUGCACAGCAAGCACCUCAGCAGAGGCGAGGCCCUGGGGGCCUGGAGCGUCUUAUGCUGCCAGAAAGCAAGAAAGAGCUCAGACAAUGAUGGGAGCACUCCACUGGCACAGACACCGACUCGAAGGAGCUCCCAGUGGCCACGUCUGGGACAGUUCCAGCAACAAGAAGAUGACAGCAGUGGACUCUACUCCACAGGAUAAACAUACAUGCAGGCGUCCACACUAGUGUAAGUAAACAGGUGAAUAAAUACAUGGGAGCGUGGGGGAAGCUUUCCCUUAUUAGUGAGUAAUGGAACUCACUAAUACAUUUAAGAGAAAUGACGGAAAGACAGCCACCCCUGAACACGCACCAUGGUGACAACUGGCAGGCGAGGAUUCCCAGGGUGGGAAAGGGUGUGAUGAGAAACGAUGUCUGACAGUCUCAAGGUUUCCCACAAAACGCUGACGAAUUACAAAGAGGAAGAAAGUGUUAACUUUAGAGCAGAGGCACCUGGCUGAGCAACCACAGUCAACAUCACCAGGAUUGGUCCAACUGACCUAGGGAUCUCCAGCGACAUCGCUUAUGGGGGAUUUGUGCCAAAAACGCAUAUACUCGAUUUAAAAAGAAGGAAACAUCAGACAACCCCUCAUUUAGGGACAGUCUACAAAAUAACUGAAAGCACUCUUCAAAGGCAUCAGGCUAUGAAGACACUAAGGAACUGUUCCACAUUGGCGGACGCUAAGGAGACAUGCUGGCCGCGUGCCACGUGGGAUCCUGGGUGGAUCACAGGAUAGAAAAGCAUGUUAGCAGAAAAAUGGACUCAAUUCAGAUAAGGUUGGUAGAUGAGUUAAUUGUAUUGUACCAAAGCUAAUUUCUUCUUUUUGAUGACUUACUGUAGUUAAGUGGGAUGUUAUUUGGGGAAUAUAGGUGAAAGGUACGCAGGAGUUAUUUUUUUACUAUUUUGUGACAUUUUUAGAUGUCUAAAAUAUUUCAAAGCGAAAAGUUUAAAAAUGCUCUAAAGGAAAUUAGAAAUACACAUAAAAAGGAGUGGCUAUGGGGCCAGCUUGAGAGUCACACUAGUAAAGCCACCAGUAACCAUGGAAACACACCGGGUUUAGGGUGAGUGUGAGAAGCCAGGGAGGGCCUCGGAGGGGCACCCCUCCAGGUCCUGUGUGCCAACAGGGAGGGUGAAAACAGUCACAAGGGCCCUGACACUUUCACAGCUGGCACAGCCUCCAGGCCACUCCUCCUGCGGCCUCAGGACAAUGCCAUGACCAGCCCAUUUCGCAGAUCAGGAAACCGAGGCAGCACACAGCAGGAGCAUCAGAGUCUGGCCACACAGCUUUGCUUCUCAGCUCCGCCAGGGUAGCCAGGUGACCAGGACGAUCCCUUCACCUCUCUGAACCUGAGGCUUUCCCCUGUAAUAUGGAAGCAAUAAACUUCCCUCCCCGUAUUAGUUUUCUAUUGCUGCAUAACACAAAACCAUAAGCUUACUGGCUUCAAAUAACACCCACUUAUUAGCUCCUAGUUCCGUAAGUCAGAAGUCAGGACAUGGCAGGACUGGGUCCUCUGCUUGGGGUCUCAAAGGCUGAAAUCGGUGUGUCAGCCCAGGUGCCUUCUCAUCUGCUCGGGGUCCGAAAGGCUGAAAUCAGUGUAGCAGUGGGGUGCCUUCUCAUCUUCCCUCAAGGGGAAACUCUACUUCCGUGCUCACUCAGGGUGUUAGCAAGAGUCAGAUCCCUGCAGCUAUGGCACUAAGAUCCCUAUCUCUCUGUUGACCAUCAGCAGGGGCCACUCUCAGCUCCUAGAGGUCACUCACAUUCCCUUCCACAUAGUCCCCUCCAUCUUCAAACCAGCAUCCCCCGCUUCCAUCCUGUGCUUCCAGUCUCAAUCUCCAGGAAGAAUUUUGUCCCCUUUAGGGCUUCCCUGAUUAGGGCAGGGCCACCAAGGCUUAUACUUUCUUAAAGUCUCCUGUGCAUAUAAGAUAGCCUAGGCAUGCAGGCGAAACCUGUCACAGUCACUGGUUCCUGCCACACUCAGGGGAGGGGGCUAUACAGGAUAUGGGUCAUGGAGGGUCUUCAUAUAGCAAUUCUCCCUUCCACAUUUGCUCACAGUAGGAAAAGCACACAGGAGGUAGUGAGCAUCCACCCCUGCCAGCAUCCCUGCUCCACUGUGCCAGGAAAAGAACCUUUGCCCACGGAAUCCACGUCCAACUCCCAUUUUCCAGCUUCUCAUGUAUAAAGAAGAAAACACAGUCCAUCCUAGGGCACCCCAGGCAAUCUCUCCGAGUAUCCUGCACUGCCCCAGACUCUCUCUAAACAGUUCCAGGCUCUCAGCCCUGCUCAGGGUGAGACAGCACCUCUCAGGCUCUCGGCCCUGCUCAGGGUGAGACAGCACCUCUCAGGCUCUCGGCCCUGCUCAGGGUGAGACAGCACCUCUCAGGCUCUCGGCCCUGCUCAGGGUGAGACAGCACCUCUUGCACAGCCUUCAGGGCUCCUGCAUGAGGAUCCUGGGAGGAGCCUUUGGCUGCACCAUGGGGUGCCCAGACACCACGUAGGUGCCUCAUGGCACAUACCCUUCCCUUCCCUCUCCUGCCCUUCCCUUCCAAGCUGAGAUUGAGCCUCCUCUCCUGCACAGAUCUUCCUCCGGGCAAUGUAGUCCCAGCCCCUUUUCUGAAUGAGCUCUGCAAACCCCAGCCCAGGCCCCACCAUCUGUGGCUGCCACACCCUCUUCCCUGGUCUCACUCUGCUGCCUUCCUGGGACCCAUUUCCACCCGGGGUGGCCAGCCAGAGUGACGGCUUGGAAAUGUGCCCGAUCACACUGUCUCUUGGUCUCUGUCACACACACUCACGCACACACACACUCACAUCCCUCUCUUCAGACAUCCCAUGGUUCCCUCAUGGCAGACAAGCUCCUCCCCA
rnacentral:lncRNA from 1 species